rnacentral:rRNA from 1 species
AUAGCCAUGCAAGUCUCAGUACAAGCCGAACUAAGGUGAAACCGCAAAAGGCUCAUUAAAUCAGUUAUGGUUCCUUGGAUCGUACAAUCCAUUACUUGGAUAACUGUGGUAAUUCUAGAGCUAAUACAUGCAAACAGAGUCCCGACCAGAAAUGGAAGGGACGCUUUUAUUAGAUCAAAACCAAUCGACGUCCGUCUUCCUCCGGGUCGACGGCGCCGUACUCCUUGGUGACUCUGAAUAACUUUUGGCAGAUCGCACGGUCUUCGAACCGGCGACGCAUCCUUCAAAUGUCUGCCUUAUCAACUGUCGAUGGUAGGUUCUGCGCCUACCAUGGUUGUAACGGGUAACGGGGAAUCAGGGUUCGAUUCCGGAGAGGGAGCCUGAGAAACGGCUACCACAUCCAAGGAAGGCAGCAGGCGCGCAAAUUACCCACUCCCGGCACGGGGAGGUAGUGACGAAAAAUAACGAUACGGGACUCAUCCGAGGCCCCGUAAUCGGAAUGAGUAUACUCUAAAUCCUUAUACGAGUAUCAAUUGGAGGGCAAGUCUGGUGCCAGCAGCCGCGGUAAUUCCAGCUCCAAUAGCGUAUAUUAAAGUUGUUGCGGUUAAAAAGCUCGUAGUUGGAUCUGUGUCCCGCACCGUCGGUUCACCGCCUGUCGGUGUUCAACUGGUGUGUAUGCGGGACGUCCUGCCGGUGGCGGUCCGGUUCCCCGUGGGUACGUAGGGGCGUCCUUGCUUACGCUUGCGUCGUCCCCGAAGGCCUGCGCGGUGUAUCCGGCCGCCUUUUCAAUCCCGUCGCGGUGCUCUUCACUGAGUGUCGAGGCGGGCCGGCACGUUUACUUUGAACAAAUUAGAGUGCUUUAAGCAGGCCCUGUCCCGCCUGUAUGUUGUGUGCAUGGAAUAAUGGAAUAGGACCUCGGUUCUAUUUUGUUGGUUUUCGGAAUCUGAGGUAAUGAUCAAUGGGGACAGGCGGGGGCAUUCGUAUUGCGACGUUAGAGGUGAAAUUCUUGG